rnacentral:rRNA from 1 species
AUGGUGCUGGCGGUGGCGGUGCUCUACCGACAUUCCAAGUCCCGGGCGAGGGCCUUCCUGUCGGCGCUGAUGCGGUGGCGGCCGCGAGUGAACGUGCUGAUCGUGCAGUGCGAGCAGGUGGUGUACCACGUGAUGUGGCUGGUGGAGUCCGUGGUGUUGGUGGGCAGGCUCUGCUUCUUCCUCAUGCGCUUCGGCUUCCAGCAGCUCUGA